GGGCGAGUGGCUCAGCGGCAGAGCGCCUCCCUUACACGGAGGAGGACGCAGGUUCAAAUCCUGCCUCGCCCACCA
rnacentral:tRNA from 2 species